CGAAGUUUCGUCACUUCUCUUCUCCCCAGAGCCAAUCCCUUUCACUUUUUCCACUGAAAACGAAGAAUUUCAGAAAUCACUCUUGUUCUUCACCUGACAGCCAGAUGGGUCUGCACUAAAGGCUUGUUCCCAAAUAUACCCAAAAUUAAAAGAGAAAAAGGUUCAGAUUUCGAGAAAGGAAAUACUGCGGGAGAGGCGAGGCGGGGGAAUUUUCUCCAAAGGUCUGAAAGUUACUCCCUUCUGAUUCACUUUUCUUUCUUUUUUACAGCAACUUCGUUACUCUUUUUUUUCCCCUCCCGUGCGCCCAUUCCCAAUUCGCUCAACCUCAGUAUGAGGAUGGAUGAGAGGUUGAUCUGGCUGGUGACUUCCUGUGAGCUGUCUGGGCACCAGUUUGAUCCUGGAAUUGGAGCCUGGAGGAGCUCCCUCCUUGAGACAGUCACGUGGGAAUCUUAGCAGUUGACAGAAAGCAAACAAGAACAGUUCUGACCUUCAGAAGAGAUUGGGCCUGAAUCUUCAGGCUGAACAAACAAUCAACACACCACACCAGGCUGGGCUGAACAAGCUCCUCUCUUCUCCAACACCAGGAAGGAAGAAAAACCUGACAGAAAGAAAGUGCUAGUCACAAGACCCAACUGCCACUUCCAGUUGCCCAUUCCCCCACCAACUGUCAGUCUUGUUUACUUUCCACAGUGUAUCAGGAAAAUUUUAAAAGUUCCGAAACAUUCUCCUCACAUGGUAUGAGUGGGACCCCAUAACUGUAGAACAUUCUUUUCUUUUAAUGCCUGGAUCCCCCACAAACUUGCUGGGGAGGGAUUUACUAUGCAAACUAUAAGCCACAAUAAUUUGCUCCUCAGAUGGUUCCUUAUCAUUGGAAGUACCUGAGGAAUUUUUAAAUUUAUUCCCUGUACUUCUCUCAGAGAGCCAGGAGGCAAAAGAGUCUCCAACCUUUAUAAUACCUAAGGAUAUACCAGAGUCUCUUUGGGCCACAUCUUUUCUGAUGUAGGCAUACUUA
rnacentral:lncRNA from 1 species